AUGCUAAGAGUAUCUAAGCAAAUGAACGAGAGCCUUUGUGCAGAGUAUACUGAAGGUGAAGUAAAAGAAGCAGUAUGGAGCAUUGGAGACCUUAAAGCAUCGGGGCCGGACGGAAUGCCAGCAAUUUUCUACAAAAGAUUUUGGCACAUCGUGGGUGAUAAGUUAACAACAGAAGUUCUAAACACUCUCAAAGGUGGUCAAAUGCCGGAGGGGUGGAAUGACACCAUGGUGGUUUUAAUUCCAAAAUCUGCUAACCCACAAAGCAUGAAGGACUUAAGGCCCAUCAACCUCUGCAAUGUUGUAUAUAAGAGAAGAAGGAAAGGAAAACUUGGAUUCGCGGCGCUAAAAUUGGACAUGAGUAAAGCCUACGACCGGGUGGAAUGGAAAUUUUUGAGAGAAAUGAUGCUUAAGCUGGGGUUUACCUUUGACUGGGUGAAUCUGGUGAUGAAGUGUGUUACAACAGUGAGAUACCAAGUCAAGGUGAGCAAUGAUUGGACAGAGACAAUUAUACCCCGAAAGAGGUUUGAGACAGGGAGACCCUCUCUCACCCUACUUGUUCCUUUUAUGUGCCGAGGGCUUCUCAACUAUACUAUAUGA
rnacentral:rRNA from 1 species